GAGUGCGAGAAGCCACAGCCAUGUCCGCCCCAGGGGAAGUGGCCAAUGGGCAUCGACUGGGCACCACGUACUCGUGCGUGGGCGUGUUCCAGCAGGGUCGGAUCCUGAAUGUGACAGCCACUGACAGGAGCACAGGCAAAGCUAACAAGAUCACCAUCACCAAUGACAAGGGCCGGUUGAGCAAGGAAGAGGUGGAGAGGAUGGUUCGUGAGGCUGAGCAGUACAAGGCUGAGGACGAGGCCCAGAGGGCAGGGUAGCUGCCAAAAACUCCCUGGAGGCCCAUGUCUUCCAUUUGAAGAGUUCCUUGCAAGAGGAAGGCCUUAGGGACAAGAUUCCUGAAGAGGACAGGCAAAAAGUGCAAGACGAAUGUCAGGCUGUCCUCACCUGGCUGGAGCACAACCAGUUGGCAGAGAAGGAGGAGUAUGAGCAUCAGAAGAGGGAGCUGGAGCAGAUCUGUCGCCCCAUAUUCUUCAGGCUCUGUGGG